CCUACGGGUGGCAGCAGUGAGGAAUAUUGGUCAAUGGCCGGAAGGCUGAACCAGCCAUGCCGCGUGAAGGUCAGUGCCCUAUGGGCGUUAAACUUCUUUUGUGCGGGAGCAAUAAUGGUCACGUGUGGCCAGACGAGAGUACCGUACGAAUAUGCAUCGGCUAACUCCGUGCCAGCAGCCGCGGUAAUACGGGGGAUGCAAGCGUUAUCCGGUUUUAUUGGGUUUAAAGGGUGCGUAGGCUGUGAGGUAAGUCAGCGGUGAAAUGCCCCCGCGCAACGGGGUGAAGUGCCAUUGAUACUGGCUGGCUGGAAGGCGGAUGACGUAGGAGGAAUGUGUGGUGUAGCGGUGAAAUGCAUAGAUAUCACACAGAACACCGAUUGCGAAGGCAUCUCACGAAUCCGCGAUUGACGCUGAUGCACGAAAGCGUGGGUAUCAAACAGGAUUAGAUACCCUAGUAGUC
rnacentral:rRNA from 1 species